rnacentral:lncRNA from 1 species
AGGUGUGAAAUGUGUGCCAAGGGACAGAGCUACUUGCAUCAGUCUGGAAUCAACCAACGAGGCCGCGAAGAGAUCAUAAGAGCAAUAAAAAAGGAGUGCCAUGCAAGGCACUUCUCCACCCUUUUUCUCCCUUGAUGUAUUAGGAACUGUGAUGUACAAGCAACUGUGAUGCACUUAGGCGAAGUGCCCCUGGAUUCAGCUUUCUCUUUGCUUGUAGUCGAUUUCCAGCAGACCAUGCUAUUUGGUGUAUGGUUCAUGUAAAACCUUGCGUUGCUUUAUCUAUAUCUAUAUCUAUACCAAUAUAAAAAGACCCAAAGGGGUAGAUCUAAUUGAUCUCGGCCAUCAAACUAAGUUAAUUCAACUACCUAGACUGCUUCAAUGGCGAGCGUUAAACAUGUUUAACGUGCAAUUAAUAUCAUACCAAAUAUUGCACUAAUCAUAGAUUAACACACAAAUAAUAGUAUACCUAAUAUUCGCAUGCAAUUAAUAUAUUCCUAAAUAUUAACGUGUGUUGCAUGUGCGUAUUUACUAGUACAUAAAAUGGGCCGAAAGCCUAUUUCAUGAUUGUAGGAUCAGGUAUCGAACGGGGUGUCGUGAUUGUAGGAUCAGGUAUCGAACGGGGUGAAUGGGAGAUUCCACAAAUUCUUCGGAAAAACAUGUGUUCACCUAAUAUAAGUUUGGUUAGAGGGGUCAAGAUUAAACUGAGAAGACCAAAUAUUCAACCUAUUUACCUUGAGUUCAAGUCUUUGAGACAUUGCCCAAUCACUUGUGAUAUAUCUUCAAGGUAAUCUCUUUGACAUUCAGAGACAUGUUCUUUGUCAGUUCACAACUACUCUUGGACGCUUUUGAAUAGAUAACAGUCUAGUGGAUGCACAGUCCACAAGCGUAAUAGGGUGAAGACAAGUCGUCUAGUGGAUACACAGUCCACAAGUGUAAUAGGGUGAAGACAAAUUUAUGCAUAGUCCACAAGUGUAAUAGGGUGAAGACAAGUUCUUCGCUGAAGCUCAAUCACUUAGCAGAUUUUAGGCUCUAGGGUUUCUCCUCUCUUAGGAUUCUCUCAAUCUCUCCGGAAGGAUGGGUUGCUCGGGCGAAUUAAUUCUCUCACGGAGCAGUCAACCAUCAAAAGUUGAAGUGGGUGGCCAUUUAUGGCUGAGAGCAAUCUUGAGGGCAGAUAUGACUGUUUGAGGUGGUGGCCACCCAACUGUACACGCAACAUGUAGCAUGCCACACGUCACGAAAUGGUCGGAUUUCAAACGCAACCAAUGACUUGACUUGCGAAACAAGUCAGUCGACUCAACUGGCGAGGACUUUCUCUUCGGCAUACCGAAGAAUAUCACCUUGGGCACCGAAGAAAAACUAUCCGCUCAAAAGAGAUAUCCAAGUCUUCACUCAAAAAAUAAUUGUAACGCCCUCGAUGCGGCUAUAUCUCCCACGUGUCGAAGCACGACUUAGAGGCAUAACCGCAUUAAAAGCAAUGUCGCAAGUGAGGUAAUCUUCACACAACCCAUGUAAUACAUAAGGGAAAGAGAUACAUAGUUGGCUUACAAUCGCCACUUCACACAAAUACAUAAAUAAAGCAUUACAUCAACCAGUUACAAACAAGGCCCGACUACGGAGCCAAAAUAAAAAAAGACUACCCCAAAUGCUACACAGAUCCCCGAUCGACCCCAACUGGGCUCCACUGCUGAUCGACUAGAACGAAACAACAUAAAGGACAAGAUCUUCAUCGAGCUCCUCCUGAGCUUGGUUGCGUCAUCUGCACGGACUCAUCGGCACCUGCAAGCUGGUUUUGGAAGUAUCUGUGAGUCACGGGGACUCAGCAAUCUCACACCCUCGCGAUCAAUACUAUUUAAGCUUAUGGGUAAGGUAAAGGUAUGAUGUGGAGCUGCAGCAAGCGACUAGCAUAUAUGGUGGCUAACAUACGCAAAUGAGAGCGAGAAGAGAAGGCAAAGCACGGUCGAGAAACUAUGAUCAAGAAGUGAUCCUAGAACAACCUACGUCAAACAUAACUCCAACACCGUGUUCACUUCCCGGACUCCGCCGGAAAGAGACCAUCACGGUUACACACGCGGUUGAUGUAUUUUAAUUAAGGUCAACUUCAGGUUUUCUACAACCGGACGUUAACAAAUUCCCAUCUUCCCAUAACCGCGGGCACGGCUUUCGAAAGUUCAAAUCCCUGCAGGGGAGUCCCAACUUAGCCCAUGACAAGCUCUCACGGUCAACGAAGGAUAUACCUUCUCCCGAGACAUUCUGAUCAGACUCGGUAUCCCGGUUCUACAAGACAACUUCGACAAGUCAAAACAAAUCCAGCAACACUGCCCGAAUGUGCCGACAAAUCCCGAUAGGAGCUGCACAUAUCUCGUCCUCAGGGCACACUCAGAUGAGACUAGCUACGAGUAAAACCAACCCUCAAGUUUCCCCGAGAUGGUCCCGCAGGCAGCUCAGUUCGGACCAACACUCAAAGGAGCACUGGCCCGGGGGGGGGGGGGGUUAAAAUAAAGAUGACCCUUGAGUCCGCGGAACCCAAGGGAAAAAGGGGCUAGGUGGCGAAUGGUAAAACCAAAGUUGGGCAUUGCUGGAAGAGUUUUAUUCAAGGCGAACUGUCAAGGGGUUCCCAUUAUAACCCAACCGCAUAAGGAACGCAAAAUCCGGGAACAUAACACCGAUAUGACGGAAACUAGGGUGGCAAGAGUGGUACAAAACACCAGGCAUAAGGCCGAGCCUUCCACCCUUUACCAAGUAUAUAGAUGCAUUAAUUAAAUAAGAUAUAUUGUGAUAUCCCAACAAGUAAACAUGUUCCAACAAGGAACAACAUCUCCAUGUUCCAACAAGGAACAAACUUCAAUCUUCACCUGCAACUAACAACGCUAUAAGAGGGGCUGAGCAAAGCGGUAACAUAGCCAAACAACGGUUUGCUAGGACAAGGUGGGUUAGAGGCUUGGUUCAACAAUAUGGGAGGCAUGAUAAGCAAGUGGUAGGUAUCGCAGCAUAGGCACAGCAAAGAGCGAGCAACUUGCAAGCAAAGAUAGAAGCGAUUUCGAGGGUAUGGUCAUCUUGCCUGAGAUCCCGCAAGGAAGAAGAACGAGUCCAAGAAGAAGACAAACGGGCGUAGUCGAACGGAUCCUCACAACGCGACAUUAUCGGAACCAACCGGAAGAAGCAACACCGGAAAGAAGCACACAACAUAGUAAACAACCACCACAUAAGCAUGGCAUGAUGCGCAAACAAGUAUGAUGCAUGUCCGGUUUAAUGAGGCAUGGCAUGGCAAAGUGCACAAGCAAUCCUACAAAUUAAGUGGAGCUCAAUAUGCAACUCCGUUGCAUAUUGACGAAACACCACGUGACUUAUUUAGUUUGAACUCGUUUAUGUACCAAACAAGAUUAAAUGUUGAUUAACAUGGCAAGAGGUGAAGCAAAGUAAAACUACCUAUCUAGUCAAGUUUAAAUGAGGCCGGAAGCAACGAACAACAAUUCCGGUAAAUCCCCGUAUGCAUAUAUUAGGGUUGGUACUGUUCUGCCCUAAACCAUAUUUUAUAGUUGUUAAACAUGCAAAGAUAUGCCACCAUGUUAAACUAGGCAAAAUUCUACCCCAUUUACAUAUAAAGUUUAUUAAAUUCGGAGCUACGGUUAAAUAGUUAUGAAUUAAAUCAUUUUAGCAUAGCAUAGGAGCAAAUUUAACCAAACGGCAUUUUAAACAUAUCAAACAUGGAGGAAAAUGGCAUAAUAUGAAAGUAGAUGCAAUUCUAAGCAUAUUUCAUAUAUAAAGUUUUUCCAUAUGAUGCACAGUUUGAGAUAUAUGAUAUGCAUGAAGUUUGAGGGUUUUCCUGCAAUUCUGUUUUUAACUGGAUAAAUAGAUAAAUCACUCCUCAGGAAAAAAACAGGAGUCGGGCCGAAACUGGCCCGAACUAGGCUGCACAGGAGCAAACAGGAGGUGGGCUUCCUCAUGUUGGGCUGAGGCCCAGUCAACGCCGUGGUGGGGCAGGCUGGAUCUGUAGGGAAGCAGCGGGCCGACGUGUAGUGCGGGCGGCUGGGCCUUGGCGCCGGAGAUGCGUGGCAGGACGAGGCCGAGGAGAGAUGGGCCGUGGCGCUCGUCCAUCACCGGAUCGAGUCAACGAGGGCGGCGCUCAUCCUGUUGCAUGAAGCAGAGGAGCGAGUGGGCGUCGUGGCUGCAGGGACUUGGUGGGGCGACGAAGAAGGUCUGGAACGGGUGGCACGGAGCGGAUCUGGAUGGCAGUGAAGUGGGCCCGAUGGCUGGACAGCGGGGCGAGCAGCGGCAACGGCGAGCGUCAGCUGCAAGGCCUCAUGGCGGGGACGAAUCUCUCCGGCGAGGAAGUUAGGGGCUUAGUCACCUGCGAUGAUGGCCAUGGAGGAAUUAGAGAGAGAGAAGGAGGAGAUGACGCCAGGGAGAAGGGAAAAAGGAGAGGGGUGCGAGGGGCUGGCCUGGCAACGGCUCCGCUGCUGCUGCUGGACGACGACGAGGAGGCAGGAGCAGGGGGCCUCGGUUGCUGCUGCAGUUCGCAUGCUCCGGCACGGGCGGAGCCAUCAACGAGGAGAAGAGAGGUGAGGUGGCAGUGGCCUUGCAGGUGACUACGCUCAGGAUCGAGGAGGGACAUGGGGGAGCGCUGGUUGGUUGGUGCAGGGGGAAAGAGAGGAUCCCGAGGUGGGGAAUGAGUGCGGCGGCGGCUAGGAGGAUCCCUAGAAAUUAGGGAUUUGGUCUGAAAUUAGACUAGGGGUGGACUAUAUAUAUACAUCACGGAUUAGGUUAGGGGCUAUCUCGACCCUACGAUCGCAAUCGGACAAUCGCGGAUAAAAUAGCUAGGGAGUCCAAAUAUGGAAACGGUGAUAUUUUGUAGAUGUUUGGGGAUGAUCCGGACACAACGGUGACGACUCCCCGGGUCGGGUCCGGGACAGCUUUCGGGCGCGCGCGCGAGGAGGGCCGCGGGCUGACGAGAGAGGUUAGGUAGGGCCUGGCGGUGAGUAGUGGGUUGUGUAGACGGUCUCGAGCUGAGAGAAGAGAAGAGAGGAAGGCCCGAUGACUGUUUCCGGAGACCGAAAACGUCCGACGUUAGACCGGCUGCUAUUGCCGCUAUAGUUUAACGGUUGGGCUAUCAAACGAACUCUGAAUGUGAUGAAACUUGGCAGGCGGUCUAUGUACACUAUAAUAAGACCACACGUCAACUCUCAUCCCAUUCCGAGAACAUUUUCCGGCCACUUAUAAAAUAAUAUUUCGGACGUGCCGCAGGCGCGUGCAAGUGUGGUUGGGCUCAGAACGGACAACGGAGAGAACUGGGGGAACCCGGACGGAUGCAAGUUUUGAAAACAUGAUGAUGCAAUGCACAUGAUGACAUGACAAGAUGCAACACGCAAGCAAAUGACAUGGCAACGACAGUGAAUAACUGGAAGACACCUGGUGCAACGGUCUCGGGGCAUUACAACACUCCACCACUACGAGAGGAUCUCAUCCCGAGAUCUAGAAUGGCACCGGAGGGAAAAACGGAAGAGAAAGAGAAGAGGUAAAACCAAGUUGCUCCUUUGACCAAUGAGUGAAACCAAAGAACCUUGCAAAGGUUAAGCCAUUUCGAGAAAAGAAUACAACGGAGAUAAAUGAAGUUGAAAGCACUCUGUUAGGAGAGAGGAACAAGGAAGAACAAAUUCAGGCAUCACUCUGACUGAAAAGAAAAGGAAUUGAAUAAGAACUUGGUAAGAUGAGAAGAUACUUGAUGAAAUCACAACACACUGCCUCCGGAACUAUUGAAUGAAUGGAACAAGGGGCAAGAAGGAUCUCAGACAGCACUCCGGUUGAAAAGAGAUGAAAGGCUUGAUAAGGCGAAAAGAACUUGAGCAAAAUGGCACAACACUCCGGUUUAAAAGGAUAAACCAAGAAAAGAACACGAUCUUGACAAAACAAAAAGAUGGGUUGAAGAGAACAACAUCACAAAGCCUCCGGAAUGAAAGAAUAGAAGAUAGAUAAUUGAAAUAGGAUAAUUGAGAAGAAAAUGCCAAUUUCUGCCACAAAAGAGUUUGAAAAGGCAUCUUUAGGAGAAGGGUCAAACGGAGUUGUUGGAAAAACCAACAACGAAAAGAUAAGCUUGAUAUGGACUUAUAGAAGAUACCCCAAAAUUAUGAGGUGACAACUUGCCACUCACGGAAUAGAUUUGAUUGGAAAGAACAAGGAGACGAGAAACUUAUUUCACCGGGAGGGUAGAUGAAUAACUUGGGUCAUUUAUAAACACCAUAGAUAGCAACAAUCCUUAGGGAAGGCUUUAGGUGAAAUAUAACCCAAGAUAACUUCAAAGAAGAGAUUGAUGGAUUUAAAAUACCUCAUUCCUAACAACAUGUGAAUCAUGAAACAUGAACCCAAAUUAUCAAGAAUGACAUAAUACCACCUCCAAUGAUACGAUAGAAAGAAUUGCAGUCCGGAUUGCAAAAUGAAGAAUGAUUGAGCUCCUUAGAAAAGAAUGUUGAUGAACGCUUCGAGAAGGAAAUAAAACCUCGAUGAACCAUCAUGUAGAACAUCCAUGAGGAACUCCGGUAAACAAAAUGAUGAUAAAAGCAAGAGAAGUUGAAAACACAAGGUGAAACCUUGUAAUGAUUUAGAAGGAGCUUCGCAACGAGAUAAUGCGGAAAAGCUAGGAACUUCGGAAAAGAAAGAUGAAGCAAAUGAACCCGAGAAUUUGAUGAGCCUCCGGAAUACGGAAUUAAUCACUUGGAUGGAACAAGAAUAAGAAUUACAUUAUGCGUAUCCUUCACCAAUUUAAAUUGAUGACAAGCAGCGGAUUUGACAUACUACUUAUUCUCGUAGAGAGCAUUAAGAUAGAUAUAGCGCCAACUUGAGAAGGUCUUCAAUGAAUCACCGGUCGGGAUUGGAAAGAAUGAAUGAAUUAGCAUGAUAACCAUGGAAGAGAGAUCUUGAACGAACCACCGUAAGAAUUGAAAAGGAACGAAUAAAACAUGAGAAAACACCAGGAAGGAUCAGCAAAUAAACGAAGAUGCUUGAGAGAAUUUAGAUCCAUGAGAACGAAAAGAUUACGAGCUGAUUAGAGAAUCCUUGAUUUAAGCACUGGUAUGAUUUAGAGUAUGAGAGCUAAAGGCUGGAUUGAAAAAAUUCUUAGGUGAUGGGUCCGGAUAAACAAACUGAACAGAAUCUUGAAUUGCUCUGGAUAGGUGAAAAGAAUUUCACAAUCGAAAACAAUUAUGAGAGGAUGGUACGAAGCUAGAGCUAUGAAUCUUGAAGAGAAAGGAGCAAGAUUUAGAGGAAAAAUCUUCUUUGGUCUUCAAAUCCAAGAAUGACGACAAGAAACACCACCAAAUUGUUGAGGCACUCCGGAAUGAAUAAUGGAAAGGUUGAGCCAAUGAUGAAAAAAAUGAAAAAAAUCUUCGAGAAAGGCAUUUGACUGAUGACAAUUCAUUCUUACGUCAAACUUCGAAAAGAAUUUGAGAAUAACUCCGGGAAAAUAAGAAGAGUCAGGUAAGAUCCUAGGAAAAAGACCUGUGGGUUAGGGUCCACUCAAAAGAAAACACCGUUGAUAUGAUUACUUGAAAAAGGAGAUAGCACCGGUUGAAUUAAAAGUCUUGAAUGAGAGAACGUCCUCGAAGAUAUGUUUGAAUGGAUCUUGAAUGAAAAUACGAGCAUUCAGAGAUAUCUUUAGCACUCCAGAACAAUUGAAUAGUGAGAAUGUAACACCCUCGAUGCGACUAUAUCUCCCACGUGUCGAGGCACGACUUAGAGGCAUAAUCGCAUUGAAGGCAUAUGUCGCAAGUUAGGCAAUCUUCACAAACAUCCCAUGUAAUAGAUAAUAAAAGGGGAGAUAACAUAGUUGGCUUACACUCUCCACGUAAAUCAAGUACAUAAAUAACAUUACAUCAUCCAAACACUCAUGGCCCGACUAUGGCGCCAAAAUAAAAGAUAACCCAACAUGCGACACGGUCCCAAUCACCCCCAACUGGGCACCACUACUGAUCAUCGGGAAAGGAAACAUAGUAACGUUGAGAGUCCUCGUCGAACUCCCACUUGAGCUCAAGCGCGUCUCCUGGAGCGGAAUCAUCAGGCCCUGCAUCUGGUGUAAUAGUAACCUGUGAGCCACAGGGACUCAGCAAUCUCGCACCCUCGCGAUCAAGACUAUUUAAGCUUAAAGGUAAGGCCAGGUAAAUAUAUAUGGAGUUGCAGGAAGCGACUAGCAAAUAUGGUGGCUAACUUAUUCGCAAAAGAGAGCGAGAAGAGGAGGCAAAGCACGAGCGAGAAACUAGGGAGCAACCUACGCAAACAUUACUCCAACACCGUUUCCGCUUCCUGGACUCCGCCGAGAAGAGGCCAUCACGGCAACACACUCAGUUGAUUCAUUUUAAUUAAGUUAAGGUUCAAGUUAUCUACAACCGGACAUUAACAAAUUCCCAUCUGCCCAUAACCGCGGGCAUGGCUUUCGAAAGUUCAAAACCCUGCAGGGGAGUCCCAACUUAGCCCAUGACAAGCUCUCAUGGUCAACGAAGGAAUAGACCUUCUCCCAAGACGUUCCGAUCAGACUCGGUAUCUCGGUUCUUCAAAACAACUCCGACAAUGGUAAAACAAGUCCAGCAACACCGCCCGCUGUGCCGACAAAUCCCGAUAGGAGCUGCACAUAUCUCGUUCUCAGGGCACACCGGAUAAGCUAAGCGUAUGGGAGCCAAUGUAACCCAAGUUACCAAGGGACGGCCCCGCACGGUGCUCUAGGUUGGACCAACGCUCAGAGGAGCACUGGCCCGGGGGGGGGGGGUUAAAAUAAGAUGACCCUUGAGUUCGCGAAACCCAAGGGAAAAAGGGCUAGGUGGCAAAUGGUAAAACCAAGGUUGGGCAUUGCUGGAGGAGUUUUAUUCAAGGCGGACUGUCAAGGGGUUCCCAUUAUAACCCAACCGCGUAAGGAACGCAAAAUCCGGGAACAUAACACCGAUAUGACGGAAACUAGGGCGGCAAGAGUGGAACAAAACACUAGGCGAGAGGCCGAGCCUUCCAUCCUUUACCAAGUAUAUAGUUGCAUUAAGAUAACAUAGCAAUAUAAUGAUAUCCCAACAAGUAAAUAAAUGUUCCAACAAGGAGCGGCCUCCAAUCUUCACCUGCAACUAGCAACGCUAUAAGAGGGGUUGAGCAAAGCGGUAACAUAGCCAAACAACGGUUUGCUAGGACAUAGUGGGUUAGAGGUUUGACAUGGAAAUUUGGGAGGCUUGAAAGCAAGUGGUAGGCAUCGUAGCAAUGGCAUAGCAAAAGAGCGAGCAAACUAGCAUAGCAAAGAUAGUAGUGAUUUCGAGGGUAUGAUCAUCUUGCUUGCACAGUUGUCAGAGUUGACUGGAUCCUCGAAAGCAAACUCAACGGGCUCCUCAUUAGCGAACUCGUCUCCCGGCUCUACCCAAACAAGACAAACAAGCAACAAGGAUACAAUCAACCACGUGCAAGGAUCAAGCAAUAUGAUGCAAUGAUGGUAUGCUAUGCGGGAUGCGAUGCGGGAUGCAUAUGCAAGAUAUGACAGGAAAAGCAAGAACCUGGCCUCAACUUGGAAAUCCAAGUGUGCCACUGGAAAGAUGAGAUGAAAUCGCUUGAAAACGAUAUAAAGAUCAUCGGAAUCGGAGUUACGGUUUGCAAAUGGCAAGCGAUUCAAAUAUGACACCGGUCUGCGAUUUACAGCACGUAGCCAUCUAAAUGCAAUGAGAUGAACAUGCUACAGCACCCAAACAUGACAACAAAAUACAUGGCAGGGAUGCAUUCAAGAUGCUUAACAAAAGUCUAGCACUGAGCUACAGCCAAUUCAUCCCUUAACAGGUUAAAACAAGCAUGGCAAAAAUGCAUAUGACAAACAGAUCUCAGACUUAGUGAAAUUAACACUUGUCUAAAAUUUCAGAUCAGGUAGCACUCUUCGGAGCAACAAAACUACAUGCUACAGGACCUGAACAUGGCAAAGUAAAGCAUGGCAUGGAGCUACUCAAAGAGCUUAACAAAAGUCCCUUAGUGACCUUGAGUCAAAAGGGAUCAGAAAAUACAAUUGCAAGCAUGUGAACAUAGCAAAAACAUAAUCAGUUUUCAGACUUAGUAAAAACUGGCACAUGCUGAAACAUAACUCAAGUAGGCAUGUUUACGAGCUCGAUGCACUCACUACGGUGCAAGUCAUGACAAACUAAGCAUACAUCCGUCAAUAAUACACAAAAUGCAAGCUAGAUAUGGCAAGAACAAAAGUAUAGCAUGCACGGAUCAACUACAACAUCAUCGGCAAAAUUGCAAACUAGUUGACAAUCUGCCCAGAUUCACAAAGUAGCAAAAGUAGAGCUCGAUUGACUCAAGCUAGGGUGCUCCAUAAUUGCAAACAAAGACAUGGAUGGAUAGAGAACUACAAUAUUAACAAAACAUCCUUACUGAUCAUCCUCAAAAGAGGCACGGAUCACUAGGAAACAACAUGAACAUAUGGCAUCAUGAGAUAAACAGAUCAAGGACUUAGUGAAAUUGCUAAGUCCCUGAAAACAGAAUUACCGAGUGCACCACUUUGCAAGCUUGCACUAGUCACCACACUCAUCACAAAAAUACAUGGGUUGCACCUCUGGAAAGAUGACAAAACCCUUAACAAAACAUAUGUAGAACAUCAGGGCAUAUCAUGCACACAUUAAUCAUGGCAAAAAUGACAAAAAGCUAAACGGAGUAGCAGAUCUGACAAUUAUCUCAAGUAGCCCUCUUCUAACAACAUUUCUGGCAUCAAGAUUAACUCAAAUGAAAAUGAUGCAAUGGAAUGAAAUGAUGUACUCUCUGAGAUGAACAUUUUGAUAUACUAUGUGCAUGAAUCGGAGCUACGGAUGCAAAGUUACGAGGCCACGAACAUGAGCAUAUGGAUCUGCAAUUUCGGGACUUAGAGAAAAAAAUCAACCUCCGGAUUAGGGUUUACUGUUCACGGAUCUGGAUCUCGGCGAGAACACUGUUCACCGGCGGCGCGGAAGCCGAGGAUGGCCGGACUUGGCGGCGCGCCGGCCGGAGGAGGUCGAGGGGCUCGCGGGGGCUCUCGCCGGAGCACGGGGCGGCGGAGAGGCGGCGGGGAGGCGAGGCCGGCCGGGCGGCGGAGUGGGGUGGACNNNNNNNNNNNNNNNNNNNNNNNNNNNNNNNNNNNNNNNNNNNNNNNNNNNNNNNNNNNNNNNNNNNNNNNNNNNNNNNNNNNNNNNNNNNNNNNNNNNNNNNNNNNNNNNNNNNNNNNNNNNNNNNNNNNNNNNNNNNNNNNNNNNNNNNNNNNNNNNNNNNNNNNNNNNNNNNNNNNNNNNNNNNNNNNNNNNNNNNNNNNNNNNNNNNNNNNNNNNNNNNNNNNNNNNNNNNNNNNNNNNNNNNNNNNNNNNNNNNNNNNNNNNNNNNNNNNNNNNNNNNNNNNNNNNNNNNNNNNNNNNNNNNNNNNNNNNNNNNNNNNNNNNNNNNNNNNNNNNNNNNNNNNNNNNNNNNNNNNNNNNNNNNNNNNNNNNNNNNNNNNNNNNNNNNNNNNNNNNNNNNNNNNNNNNNNNNNNNNNNNNNNNNNNNNNNNNNNNNNNNNNNNNNNNNNNNNNNNNNNNNNNNNNNNNNNNNNNNNNNNNNNNNNNNNNNNNNNNNNNNNNNNNNNNNNNNNNNNNNNNNNNNNNNNNNNNNNNNNNNNNNNNNNNNNNNNNNNNNNNNNNNNGGCCGGGUGCCACAUGGCGGGCGGCGGUUGGCGGCGGUGACGAGCAGACGCGUCCGGCCGGUUUCGGACGUGUCCGGCCGGUGCGGGGGCGAUUUCUAGGGUUUGAGAGGGAGGAGAUCCGCGAAUUUCGGGAGGGGGCUUUAAAUAGAGGUAGAGGGAGCUAGGAGAGUCCAAAUGAGGUGCGGUUUUCGGCCACGCGAUCGUGAUCGAACGCUCUAGAAGAUGGAGUAGAGUUAGGUGGGUUUUGGGCCAAAAUGGAGGGGUGUUGGGCUGCAACACACACGAGGCCUUUUUGGUCCCUCGGUUAAUCGUAGGAGUAUCAAACGAAGUCCAAAUGGUACGAAACUUGACAGGCGGUCUACCGGUAGUAAACCAAGGCCGCUUGGCAAGUCUUGGUCCAAUCCGGAAAUGUUUAAUCCCCACACACGAAAGAAAGGUAGAAAUGACCACCGGAGGAGAACGAAGCGCCGGAAUGCAAAACGGACAACGGGGAAAAUGCUCGAAUGCAUGAGACGAACACGUAUGCAAAUGCAAUGCACAUGAUGACAUGAUAUGAGAUGCAUGACAACAAAAACAACACACGGAGACAAAGACCCGAACCCGAGGAAAAAUAAAUAACUUAACGCCGAAACGACAAGAGUUGGAGUACAAAUUGGGAAAGUUACAACCGGGGUGUUACAGAGAAGUGGAUGAUUAAGAGGUGCACCGGCAUGAGAAGGUAUUUGAAACAAGGAAAAAGGAUAUGAUCAACAAAGUUUGAAUUGGAUCCACCGGAGAAGAAAAAAGAAUGAAUAAUGAUGAGCUAGUAGAACAUCUUCAUGGAAACCACCGGGUAAGAACAUUGACAGAAAAGGAAUGAAGGGGCCUCGCAUCAAUAUGAUGGAUACUUGAUUAAGAUAUCUGAGUCCUUGAAGAAAAAGGGUGGGUGGGCGGGAAAAACAAAGACAACUUGGGAUGGAUGAAACGAACACCGUUGAGAAGAACUGAUAAUUGAUCUUGCUGAUAUUUAAAUGAUCGGAUCCACUUGAAGAGAAACACUCCAGAUGAGAAGGAUUGACGAGACAGUCUCGAUUAUCAUGAAGGAUUAGUAUUCACAUAGGAGUAUGAGAACACCCUUUAGAGAAGGUAUGGAAUCAACAUUUGAUUUCGAAGCAACUCGAAUAUCACAACUCAAAACAAAAACAAAGGAUUGGCUUGCAGAAUAAGCCGGAACAAACAUAUGAUAGAGAUUUCGUCCAAAGUUUUCAUGGUGGGGCCUACACGGGCUCGAUCGUACAGCACCAUCAUGUACAAGGCAGUGCACAUGACAUAGGAAGCGUCCCCGAGUCGGCAUAGCAAGGACUCUUUAAGACACAACAAGACCACUGUAAAACCAACCGUGGAUAGGCGUACCACUAGACGUCGAACCCCAAUUUCAUAUCAUACAUCUGUUGGAAAGAUAUCCUAAGAGCUACUUGAAUUCCCACUUAUAAACUCCCGAAAUUUUCCCAGUUAUGCAAUCAGGUGUUGGGGAUACGGGGGAAGCAUAAUAUCUCACCCAAAACUAGCAAAUCCUACAUCCAGCUGUAUCCAUCCUUCAACACAUAACCAAGAAACCUUCGGAAAUCAUCUACCUCAACCUUCGAAAAGCAUCCAUUAUACGAGUUAUGGCAAUACUCCCGAACUCCCGCCCCAGUACUGGGUGGCGUUGAGGUUAUCUCACCAACAACUGCAUAAACGAGAUUUUCGAUGUCGGCGAAACUAAUCUCAGGUAUUCCAGAACUGCAACGAUAAAAUUGCGACGACAACACCUCAGAGCUCAACUCCCCGGGACACUGCCACAACCCCUAAAUGCAGGAGGCACCAAGAUCAAUGUUCUCGUCACAAAACCAUCGGAACGAUUCCAAGAUACCCGCGUGAUCCUAACAUUUUUUAGUGAAAUUUGAGAAGAGAAGAGUCAAAACUCUAUGUCAGGAUGCCUUACCAGAGCGAUGAAGGGACUGGGAGUAAAAGAAUUCCUAAACUCUCCGAUAUAUAAUUCCUAAAAAGACUCAAAACAUUUUUCUAGACUCAACUCGUCAGCUAUUUCGAUCAAGCAGUGGGGCUCCUAUGGUCGGGGAAGGCUCUGAUUACCAACUUGUAACACCCUCGAUGCGGCUAUAUCUCCCACGUGUCGAAGCACGACUUAGAGGCAUAACCGCAUUGAAAGCAAUGUCGCAAGUGAGGUAAUCUUCACACAACCCAUGUAAUACAUAAGGGAAAGAGAUACAUAGUUGGCUUACAAUCGCCACUUCACACAAAUACAUAAAUAAAGCAUUACAUCAACCAGUUACAAACAAGGCCCGACUACGGAGCCAAAAUAAAAGAAGACUACCCCAAAUGCUACACAGAUCCCCGAUUGACCCCAACUGGGCUCCACUACUGAUCGACUAGAACGAAACAACAUAAAGGACAAGAUCUUCAUCAAGCUCCUCCUAAGCUUGGCUGCGUCAUCUGCACGGACUCAUCGACACCUGCAAGCUGGUUUUGGAAGUAUCUGUGAGUCACGGGGACUCAGCAAUCUCACACCCUCGUGAUCAAGACUAUUUAAGCUUAUGGGUAAGGUAAAGGUAUGAGGUGGAGCUGCAGCAAGCGACUAGCAUAUAUGGUGGCUAACAUACGCAAAUGAGAGCGAGAAGAGAAGGCAAAGCACGGUUGAGAAACUAUGAUCAAGAAGUGAUCCUAGAACAACCUACGUCAAACAUAACUCCAACACCGUGUUCACUUCCCGGACUCCGCCGGAAAGAGACCAUCAUGGUUACACACGCGGUUGAUGUAUUUUAAUUAAGGUCAACUUCAGGUUUUCUACAACCGGACGUUAACAAAUUCCCAUCUUCCCAUAACCGCGGGCACGACUUUCAAAAGUUCAAAUCCCUGCAGGGGAGUCCCAACUUAGCCCAUGACAAGCUCUCACGGUCAACGAAGGAUAUACCUUCUCUCGAGACAUUCCGAUCAGACUCGGUAUCCCGGUUCUACAAGACAACUUCGACAAGUCAAAACAAAUCCAGCAACACUGCCCGAAUGUGCCGACAAAUCCCGAUAGGAGCUGCACAUAUCUCGUCCUCAGGACACACUCAGAUGAGACUAGCUACGAGUAAAACCAACCCUCAAGUUUCCUCGAGGUGGUCCCGCAGGCAGCUCAGUUCGGACCAACACUCAGAGGAGCACUGGCCCGGGGGGGGGGGGGUUAAAAUAAAGAUGACCCUUGAGUCCGCGGAACCCAAGGGAAAAAGGGGCUAGGUGGCGAAUGGUAAAACCAAAGUUGGGCAUUGCUGGAAGAUUUUUAUUCAAGGCAAACUGUCAAGGGGUUCCCAUUAUAACCCAACCGCAUAAGGAACGCAAAAUCCGGGAACAUAACACCGAUAUGACGGAAACUAGGGUGGCAAGAGUGGUACAAAACACCAGGCAUAAGGCCGAGCCUUCCACCCUUUACCAAGUAUAUAGAUGCAUUAAUUAAAUAAGAUAUAUUGUGAUAUCCCAACAAGUAAACAUGUUCCAACAAGGAACAACAUCUCCAUGUUCCAACAAGGAACAAACUUCAAUCUUCACCUGCAACUAACAACGCUAUAAGAGGGGCUGAGCAAAGCGGUAACAUAGCCAAACAACGGUUUGCUAGGACAAGGUGGGUUAGAGGCUUGGUUCAACAAUAUGGGAGGCAUGAUAAGCAAGUGGUAGGUAUCGCAGCAUAGGCACAGCAAAGAGCGAGCAACUAGCAAGCAAAGAUAGAAGUGAUUUCGAGGGUAUGGUCAUCUUGCCUGAGAUCCCGCAAGGAAGAAGAACGAGUCCAAGAAGAAGACAAACGGGCGUAGUCGAACGGAUCCUCACAAUGCGACAUUAUCGGAACCAACCCGAAGAAGCAACACCGGAAAGAAGCACACAACAAAGUAAACAACCACCACAUAAGCAUGGCACGAUGCGCAAACAAGUAUGAUGCAUGUCCAGUUUAAUGAGGCAUGGCAUGGCAAAGUGCACAAGCAAUCCUACAAAUUAAGUGGAGCUCAAUAUGCAACUCCGUUGCAUAUUGACGAAACACCACGCGACUUAUUUAGUUCGAACUCGUUUAUGUACCCAACAAGAUUAAAUGUUGAUUAAAUGUUGAUUAGCAUGUCCAGAAGCAACGAACAACAAUUCCGGUAAAUCCCCAUAUGCAUAUAUUAGGGUUGGUACUGUUCUGCCCUAAACCAUAUUUUAUAGUUCUUAAACAUUCAAAGAGAUGCCACCAUGUUAAACUAGGAAAAAUUCUACCCCAUUUACAUAUAAAGUUUAUUAAAUUUGGAGCUACGGUUAAAUAGUUAUGAAUUAAAUCAUUUUAGCAUGGCAUAGGAGCAAAUUUAACCAAACGGCAUUUUAAACAUAUCAAACAUGGAGGAAAAUGGCAUAAUAUGAAACUAGAUGCAAUUCUAAGCAUAUUUCAUAUAUAAAGUUUUUCCAUAUGAUGCACAGUUUGAGAUAUAUGAUAUGCAUGAAGUUUGAGGGUUUUCCAGCAAUUCUGUUUUUAACUGGAUAAAUAGAUAAAUCACUCCUCAGGAAAAAAACAGGAGUCGGGCCGAAACUGGCCCGAACUAGGCUGCACAGGAGCAAACAGGAGGUGGGCUUCCUCACGUUGGGCUGAGGCCCAGUCAACGCAGUGGUGGGGCAGGCUGGAUCUAUAGGGAAGCAGCGGGCCGAUGUGUAGUGCGGGCGGCUGGGCCUUGGCGCCGGAGAUGCGGGGCAGGACGAGGCCGAGGAGAGACGGGCCGUGGUGCUCGUCCAUCACCGGAUCGAGUCAACGAGGGCGGCGCUCGUCCUGUUGCAUGAAGCAGAGGAACGAGUGGGCGUCGCGACUGCAGGGGCUUGGCGGGGCGACGAAGAAGGUCUGGAACGGGCGGCACGGAGCGGAUCUGGACGGCAGUGAAGUGGGCCAGACGGCUGGACAGCGGGGCGAGCUGCGGCAACGGCGAGCGUCAGCUGCAAGGCCUCAUGGCGGGGACGAAUCUCUCCGGCGAGGAAGUCAGGGGCUCAGUCACCUGCGAUGAUGGCCAUGGAGGAAUUAGAGAGAGAGAAGGAGGAGAUGACGCCAGGGAGAAGGGAAAAAGGAGAGGGGCUGGCCUGGCAACGACUCCGCUGCUGCUGCUGGACGACGACGAGGAGGCAAGAGCAGGGGGCCUCGGUUGCUGCUGCAGUUCGCGUGCUCCGGCACGGGCGGAGCCAUCAGCGAGGAGAAGAGAGGUGAGGUGGCAGUGGCCUUGCAGGUGACUACGCUCGGGAUCGAGGAGGGACAUGGGGGAGCGCAGGUUGGUUGGUGCAGGGGGAAAGAAAGGAUCCCGAGGUGGGGAAUGAGUGCGGCGACGACUAGGAGGAUCCCUAGAAAUUGGGGAUUUGGUCUGAAAUUAGACUAGGGGUGGACUAUAUAUAUACAUCACGGAUUAGGUUAGGGGCUAUCUCGACCCUACGAUCGCAAUCGGACGAUCGCGGAUAAAAUAGCUAGGGAGUCCAAAUAUGGAAACAGUGAUAUUUUGUAGAUGUUUGGGGAUGAUCCGGACACAACGGUGACGACUCCCCGGGUCGGGUCCGGGACAGCUUUUGGGCGCGCGCGUGAGGAGGGCCGCGGGCUGACGAGAGAGGUUAGGUAGGGCCUAGCGGUGAGUAGUGGGCUGUGUAGACGGUCUCGAGCUGAGAGAAGAGAAGAGAGGGAGGCCCGGCGACUGUUUCCGGAGACCAAAAAUGUCCGACGUUAGACCGGCUGCUAUUGCCGCUAUAGUUUAACGAUUGGGCUAUCGAACAAACUCCGAAUGCGAUGAAACUUGGCAGGCAGUCUAUGUACACUAUAAUAAGACCACACAUCAACUCUCAUCCCAUUCCGAGAACAUUUUCCGGCCACUUAUAAAAUAAUAUUUCGGACGUGCCGUGGGCGUGUGCAAGUGUGGUUGGGCUCAGAACGGACAACAGAGAGAACUGGGGGAACCCAGACAGAUGCAAGUUUUAAAAACAUGAUGAUGCAAUGCACAUGAUGACAUGACAAGAUGCAACACGCAAGCGAAUGACAUGGCAACGACGGUGAAUAACUGGAAGACACGUGGCGCAACGGUCUCGGGGCGUACAAUAAUAAUAUUUGGAUUAAGCACACAUUGCAAACCUCAAUCUCAACUUCCGCUUAGACCCCCUAAUAGUACGGUUUGUCCUAUGACUCAAAUAGAAGAAAAUUAAACUAGAAAGACAAAGUCUUCACUACACUUCGUAUUCCUCGCAACAAGUUGAUUGUUCCUUGAAGAAGCAUUCCAAAGAUAUUCAUUGCCACCACAAUUUUUAAGGAGCCAUAACUCUCAUAUUAAACCUAAUCCUAAGGACUUUCACCUUGUAUACUCAUAAACACAUUAGUCCUUAACUGUUUUGUCAUCAAUAAUCCAAAACCCUCUAGGGGGCACUAUAUACACUUACAUUCUCCCCCAUUUUGGAAGAUUGAUGACAAUACCAGUUAAAGUUUCGAGCGAGGAAAAAAUAAAUUAAAAGUAAAAAAAUGAGGAUUCUAAAUUCAAAGACAUAGAGAUAGCUCCCACUGAAGAUGUGCAUAUUGAAGAAUUUGCUUUGGAAUGCAAAUGCACAUGACGUGUUGAAAUUGUGGAGAUCCUCUGUCUUGAAAUUUGAGGGCAUGCAUUACAUAUAAGAUAAACUUGAGAGGAAUAAUAAAAUGCAUACAACAACGAUCUCUCAGGAAUAACCAUAUGCAUAUAAGAUAGCCGUUUAAACAUGCACGAGGAAUAACUUGUUUAAUGGUUAUAUAUAAGCACAACAUAAAGAGUUUACAAUCCGUUAAGAGAUAAAUCAAAGUAGCAAGCGUGGUAAACCCGAGGCAAAGCCCGCCAAAGGAACCAAAAAGCUAUUAACACAUUGAUCUCUCCACCUUUGUAACAUGUGACCAAAUAGGUUGAGAAACAAAUGGCAAUAUACUUGUCUGACCCACUCAAGGAAGAUGCCAAUGAAGAAUCCGAAACAACAAAGAAGUUGAAGUCGUGAGAGCGGUCGUGGUAGCUUCUUGGUCCAUGACAGAAGUUGGACCAAAUGGAGCAUCUUGGUGUUGAGUAGGAUCAAAAAACGUCGAGAUAGCAGCGCCAUCAAGGACAAUGUCAUUAGGACCAUGAUCCCAUCAGAAGAGCUUGACUGAGUGACUGAUGGUAAGAUAUCAUGCAUCCACAUGAUCCAGUGUGCUACCAAUAGUGAACCUAACUCCAUGUUGUUACAUUGUUGACCUUGGAUUAUUUUUUGUGUCGAUUUGGCGUACUAUCCCGCAACAAUGUGUAUGGUAUCAUCUAGUAUCAUCAGAAGUGUUGGGUUCUAUGGUAGGGUGCGUCGACUACAAAUUAAAAUUUCCUAUGUGCAGAACAACCAAGAACAUGCUAUGGGAGAUGGAUCACAGUUCGUUACCACUAGACACGCAGUGCGUGCAGCGGAAGAAGAGUUGGGGCAGCGCGUCCGCGUGGAUCGUCUCCUCCUUGUUCGAUCUACCUCGAACAGUCGGUCGUCGGUUCCCAUGUACAGGUUCACCGGAGCGGCGCAAGUGCACCGCCUCUAACGGUAUUCGCGCGUGCAGGAAGAACGUCGUGCGGCGGACUGCUAGGUCCGAUCACACAAUCGGCGGCGAGUGGAGGUGUCUAUUCGCAACACAUGCAAACCCUAGUGAAAGCGCCGAAGCGAUCAACCCCAUGAGUGUGCCACACCCCACUUUAUAUAGGCGUCCGUCACGGGCUCAACACUUGGGCCUCGCAUGGACCCUAAAGCCCAUAAAUCUACUCGGCCACAAUCCGAAUACAGCUCGGAUCACAUCCGACCAGUGUCCCCGGAUCUGACCUCAUAGGUUCCUUCCCUUAAGCGUGUGACCCCUUAGGUUCAAGCCGGCUUGGUCGCAGUUCGGAUCACCUCCGAACUUCACGGUUGGUAGCGGCCCCUAGCAAGGCAUGCCAAACACCAAGCAGACUAUGAAGCUGGUUAGGCGAACCUGUACAUCAUACUUCCAUUCCUUUUGCCACACGAUAUAUGUUGUCGGGCUCAAGACGAGUCUGUCAUCCUUGUGCUAGCCCGACCUCUUUCUCGUUCCAGUGAUGCCGACCACAAACCGGAUUAUCUCAUAAUCCAUGUCGCAUGGCCAUGAUCAUCCUGGUCGGAUCACACGAGGGGCCCAGAGCAUAUCUCUCCUGACCGGAGGGCAAAUCCCAUCUUGCUCGACCAUGUCUCACAGCAUGGGUCUGGACAAGCCCGAAACCUACCUUUGUAACUAUCCAGUCACGGAGUAGCGUUUGGUUGGCCCAAAGCAAGUCUGUCACCAUCCCGAGUACAUGCACCAGCUCAGGUCUUAGGACAUAGAACACAUGUUGUACUAGAGACUCACGGAUGACAUAUCGCUGCGUCUCAUAGUUGGAUCUGUCCGACUCAGACCUUAUCUCAACUCGGAUCCGACUACGUCGAAUCCGACCAGAUCCUUCCGAGUCCAUAUUAUCCGGUUAACAUCCAAUGCUCCAUGGCUAGUGAGACCAAGCCAUCGACCGUGUCAUAUGCUAGUCUAGUCUGCUGUGCAUCCACACGGCCCUUUUGACUAGGGACCUUUUAGGAUGUUCAUCAUACAAUGCAUAGUCCCACAAACAAGUCACGUACUUUCUAAUACACAUCAUUGAUAAUGUCCAAGGACUAUCUUUAUUCAUAAACACAUAGGAAAUAUCAUCAUACAUGAUUGCCUCUAGGGCAUAUCUCCAACAAGAAGCUCCUUGAAGUCUACUUUCCAACCCCCAAAAUUGUGCAUCAUUUGGUGCUAUGUAGCCAAAGCUCUGACCAUUUUGGUGGAAAGAGCCCAGGCUGUCAAAGCUGCGCGAGAAUUCUAUUUGGCUUUUACCUUGCCAAGGCAACCAUGCAUUAGCCAAAUAGUUUCUUAAUCAUUUUCACACCUUAGCUGGUUCAAAAACCUAUUUUGGUUCCACACCUAUCCCAGGGGUUGUCCUGUGACACCCCGUCUAUAAUCGUGCACUAAUCAUAUACGCAUCAUGCACGACCACGAACGAUGACUCACGUCAAUAUCAUAACACAACUUUACGACACAAAUUUAAACAUAAAUCUUUAUAUUACAAGCCAGGGCCACGAGGACCCAAAAUCAAAGCAAAUAUCAUCUGAGUACAGAAGUAGUUAGACAAAUUUUGCCUUAAGAAGGUUGAGCAAAACAACGACUCUAGAUCGAAAGGUAAGGCUGUAGCGCCCCGAGACCGAUGUGCCAGGUGUCCUCCAGUUAUUCAUUGUUGUUGCCUUGUCAUUGCUUGCGUGUCAUGCAUGUCAUAUCAUGUCAUCAUGUGCAUUUCAUUUGCAUACAUGUUCGUCUCAUGCAUCCGAGCAUUUUCCCCGUUGUCCGUUUUGCAUUCCGGCGCUCCUAUGUCAUCCGGUGUCCCUUUUCUACCUCUUUUCAUGUGUGGGUGUUAAAUGUUUUCGGAUUGGUCUGAGACUUGUCAUGCGGCCUUGGUUUACUACCGGUAGACCGCCUGUCAAGUUUCAUGCCAUUUGGACUUCGUUUGAUACUCCAACGGUUAACUAAGGGACCGAAAAGGCCUCGUGUGCAUUGCAGCCCAACACCCUUCCAAAGUGGCUCAAAACCCACCUAAACCUCCUCCAUCAUCUAUAUCGUUCGAUCACGAUCGCGUGGCCGAAAACCGCACCUCUUUUGGAGUCUCCUAGCUCCCUCCACCUAUAUAUAUAUAUGUGUGCCUCCCGGAAUUUUCGCGCAGAUAAAACUCUAGCCCCGCUCCUCGCGCCGCCGGACAAAACUUCCCACCACCGGCCGGACAUGUCCGCCGCCCUCAGCCACCUCACUCCGCCCAAUGAGGUAGCGCCACAUCACCCGCCGCCGCCUCCCACGCCAAUCGCGUUGCGCCACCUCAGCCGGCCGCCUCCCUCCCUCUCCAUCGCGCCCGCCACGGCCCGCGGAGCCCAGGCGGGGCCCGCCCGGCCCGGACCGGCAGCGCCGCCGNNNNNNNNNNNNNNNNNNNNNNNNNNNNNNNNNNNNNNNNNNNNNNNNNNNNNNNNNNNNNNNNNNNNNNNNNNNNNNNNNNNNNNNNNNNNNNNNNNNNNNNNNNNNNNNNNNNNNNNNNNNNNNNNNNNNNNNNNNNNNNNNNNNNNNNNNNNNNNNNNNNNNNNNNNNNNNNNNNNNNNNNNNNNNNNNNNNNNNNNNNNNNNNNNNNNNNNNNNNNNNNNNNNNNNNNNNNNNNNNNNNNNNNNNNNNNNNNNNNNNNNNNNNNNNNNNNNNNNNNNNNNNNNNNNNNNNNNNNNNNNNNNNNNNNNNNNNNNNNNNNNNNNNNNNNNNNNNNNNNNNNNNNNNNNNNNNNNNNNNNNNNNNNNNNNNNNNNNNNNNNNNNNNNNNNNNNNNNNNNNNNNNNNNNCGCCCGCGCCUCGCAGCGCCACGCCGCCUCCUCCCGUCGCCGGCGAGCGCCGGAGCCGCGCCGCUCCUCGCCGGCGUACCGCCUCUCCGGUCCCCUUCCUCCUCUUCGGUCGACUCCGGCGAAGCCCUCCGGUGGUCCUCGAAGUCCGUGCCCCGGCCAGAUCCAGAUCCAAAUUCAAACUUGGUUGACUUUCCCUCCUAACCCUAGAAUUUUUUGCAUACUUCUUCAUGUCAUAACUUCUCCACUGUUGCUCCGAUUCGUGCGUGUAGCAUAUCAAAAUGUUCGCCUCGACGAGUACAUCAUUUCAUCCCAUUGCAUCAUUUUCAUUUGAGCUCAUCUUGAUGACCGAAAUGCUGUUGGAAUAGGGCUAUGUGAUGAUAGUUUCAGAUCUGUUUCAGCAUUUGCACUUUUGUCAUUUUUGCCAUGAUUAAUGUGUGCAUGCUAUGAUCCUGAGCUCUACAUGUGUUUUGAAGAAUGCCAUGCCAUCUUUACAGGGGUGUAUGCCAUGUAUUUUUGUCAUCUUUGUGGUGACUAGCACAAGCAUGCAAAGUAGCUUACUCAAUGACACCAAGUCCUUGCCCUGUCAUUAUUUUUUAUGCCAUAUGUUCAUGUUGAUACCGAGUGAUCCAUGCCUCUUUUGAGCAUGGUCUGUAAGGAUGUUUUGUAGAUAAUGUUGUGCUCUAUCCAUCCAUGCCUUUGUUUGCAAUUAUGGAGCACCCUAGCUUGACUCAAUCGAGCUCUACUUUUGCUAUAAAAUGUUCCUGGCAGAUUGUUAACAUGUUUAGCAAUUUUGCCGAGCUUUGUUGUUGUUGAUCUGUGCAUGUUAUGUUGUUGUUCUUGCCAUGUCUAGCUUCUAUGCCAUGUCUAUUUGCUGGGUGUAUGCUUAGUUUGUCAUGCAAUGCCUCGUAGUGAGUGCAUCGAGCUCGUAAACAUGCCUACUCAUUAUCUGUUUUGCCAUGCUCCAGUUUUUCACCAAGUCUGAAUCUGCUUUCAUUAAUUACUAUGUUCACAUGCUUGCAAUUGUAUUUUCUGAUCCCUUUUGGCUCAUGGUCACUAAGGGACUUUUGUUGUAUGCUUUGAGUAGCUUCAUGCCAUGCCUUGCUUUGCCAUGAUAUCUUCCUGUAGCAUGUAGUUAUCAUGCUCUAAACAUUGCUUCCUGAUGAUAAAUUCCUAACAUACUGUUAAUUUCACUAAGUCUGAAACCUGUUAUCUUUUGCACUUUUGCCAUGCUUGUGUGAACCUGUUAUUGAGUGAAUUAGCCGUAGCUCAGUGUUCAUAUUUUGUCAAGCAUCAUGAGUGGAUACCUGCCAUGUAUUUUGUUGCCAUGUUUGAGUGCAAUAGUUUAUUUAUCUUGAUGCAUUUAGAAGGCUACUUGCUAUUAUCGCAGACCGGUGCCAUAUUUGUUUUGCUUGCCUUUUCCAAACCGCGCAUCCAAUUCCGGUGAUCUUUUAUAUCGAUUUCGACCGAAAUCAACUCACCUUUCCAGUGGCACUCUUAGUUUUCCAAGUUGAGGCCAGGUUCAAUCAUUCCUUUCCAAAUCAUGCAUAUGCAUCACAUAUCGCAUCCCGCAUAUCAUACCAUGUUUGCAUCAUGUUGCUUGAGCAUUGCACGUGGUUGAUUGUAUUCAUUUUGCUUUUUGUUCUUGCUUGGGUAGAGAUGGGAGACGAGUACGUGAACGAGGAGCCCGUUAAGUACGCUUUCGAGGAUCAAGGCAACUCUGAGAACUUUGUAGGCAAGAUGACCAUACCCUCGAAAUCACUUCUAUCUUUGCUUGCUAGAUGCUCGCUCUAUUGCUAUGCCUAUGCUGCGAUACCUACCACUUGCUUAUCAUGCCUCACAUAUUGCUAAGCCAAGCCUCUAACCCACCUUGUCCUAGCAAACCGUUGUUUGGCUAUGUUACCACUUUGCUCAGCCCCUCUUUUAGCGUUGUUAGUUGCAGGUGAAGAUGGAGUUUGUUCCAUGUUGGAACAUGAUUAUUGUUGGGAUAUCACAAUAUAUCUUAUUUACUUGAUGCAUCUAUAUACUUGGUAAAGGGUGGAAGGCUCGGCCUUAUGCCUGGUGUUUUGUUCCACUCUUGCCGCCCUAGUUUCCGUCAUAUCGGUGUUAUGUUCCCGGAUUUUGCGUUCCUUACACGGUUGGGUUAUAAUGGGAACCCCUUGACAGUUCACCUUGAAUAAAACUCCUCCAGCAAGGCCCAACCUUGGUUUUACCAUUUGCACUAACAACCUACCACCUUCCCUUGGGUUCUGCAUACUCAAGGGUCAUCUUUAUUUUAACCCCCCCGGGCAAGUGCUUCUCUAAGUGUUGGUCCGAAAUGGGCAGCCUGUGGGGCCACCUCGGUGAAACUCGAGGGCUGGUUUUACUCGUAGCUUGACCUAUCCGGUGUACCCUGAGAACGAGAUAUGUGCAGCUCCUAUCGGGAUUUGUUGGCACAUAUGGGUUGCUUUGCUGGACUUGUUUUACCAUUGUCGAGGAUGUCUUGUAACCGGGAUGCCGAGUCUGAUCGGAUUGUCUUGGGAGAAGGAAUAUCCUUCGUUGACCGUGAGAGCUUGUGAUGGGCUAAGUUGGGACACCCCUGCAGGGAUUUGAACUUUCGAAAGCCGUGCCCGCAGUUAUGGGUAGAUGGGAAUUUGUUAAUGUCCGGCUGUAGAAAACCUGAAACUUAUUGUAAUUAAAAUGCAUCAAUCGUGUGUGUUACCGUGAUGGUCUCUUGGCGGGGUCCGGGAAGUGAACACGGUGUUGGAGUUAUGCUUGACGUAGGUUGUUCUAGGAUCACUUCUUGAUCAUAGUUGUUCGGUCGUGCUUUUGCCUUCUCUUCUCGCUCUCAUUUGCGUAUGUUAGCCACCAUAUAUGCUAGUCGCUUGUUGCAGCUCCACCUCAUACCUUUUACCCUACCUAUAUGCUUAAAUAGUCUUGAUUGCGAGGGUGUGAGAUUGCUGAGUCCACGUGACUCACAGUUUACUUCCAAACCCAGAUUGCAGGUGCCGAUGAAACCGUGCAGGUGACGAAACCAAGCUAAGGAGGAUCUCGAUGGAGUUCGCAUUCGUUUUGUUGUUCCAUUUCCAGUUGAUCAGUAGUGGAGCCCAGUUGGGACGAUCGGGGAUCUGUGUAGCUUUUGGGGUAGUCUUCUUUUAUUUUGGUUCCGUAGUCGUACCUUGAGUGUAUCUGGAUGAAUGUAAUGUUUUAUACAUGUAUUGUGUGAAGUGGCGAUUGUAAGCCAACUAUGUACCUUUUCCCUUAUUGUAUUACAUGGGUUGUUUGCAAAGAUUACCUCACUUGCGACAUUGCUUUCAAUGCGGUUAUGCCUCUAAGUCGUGCUUCGACACGUGGGAGAUAUAGCCGCAUUGAGGGCAUAACAAAGGCCUCCUGCAUGGGACCUCCGGACUACUCUUGGUCAUCGGUCUCUACGUAGUAAGCACCAUCGGGGAAAUCUGCAUCUGCGGUGCUACCAGUUGUUGCAGCAACUGGGUCGAAUGAAAAAGGGAGCAAAGCAAUGAUGAGUACUCAUCCAAAGUACUUGCAAGACUUACAUCAAAUCUAUACUAGAUAUGCAUUAGUAUCAAAGGAAUGGGGUAGUAUCUAUGGACUAAGCUACAGAUAUGCCAGAAUAAAGGGGGAGAAGCUCAUCCUAUCGAAGACUACAUCAUUCAGCAGUAGAAGAGAGGAGCGUAUAUAGUAUCGUCUUAUAUCAACAUAUAGCAAUAUUCAUGCAUGGAGAUCCUCUCCUCGUCUCCCUGAGAGAAAGUGAUCACCGGGGGUAUCUGUCUCUUAUCUGGUUGUGUUUUAACAAGUAUCCGGUUUUAGCUGUAAGAGGUCGGGAUACAACUCCAAAGUCAUCCUUUUACCAUGGACACGACUAUUUGAAUAGAUUACUUCCCUACAGGGGUGGACCACAUUACCCGAUACACUCGAUUACCCCUGGCCAAACACACUUUUCUGAGUAAUGUUCGGCCUUGGAUAAUCGACAUGCCGUAGUCGUAUCUAGACUCUCUAGAGAGGUCAACGCAUCGGUCUAAAUCCUAAGCCCGAAGGGGUCAUGGGCCGAUCGCCCUAAGCUCUCAUGCACGUUGCGUGGACGACCGGGACCAAUCCUAGCUACCUCUUUAUACAAAGAAGGCACUUGCGGAUCUCCCAGGCUCGUGCUGCUCAACAGUGAUGUCUGUAGAGCUUUUGGGAGAAAGCGUACGACGCCGAUGGUCCCAUAUACCAUUAUCCCGCACGGCGGUUAGUAUGUAUAUGCCAGUGGCAGUCUCAAAUCAAAUACCAAUCUCGUUAAGUGUGUUAUUAUGAAAUAACCACAGACACCGACCAGGGACCAGGCCCACCUCUCUCCUAGGUGAUUUCUACCUGUCCUGUCAUUCUGCCACAAAGAAUCACUCGGGGGGAUGCCGGGAAUCUAGGUUAAUCACUACCUGGAUGGAACCACUUGUCUCUUCAGCCCCUAGUCCAAACAUUAACAUGACAUAAUAUAAAGCAGUAAUAGUCUUCUUCUUCAUCGGCAUCUCAUUGCAGUCCAUCUCGCUCCAUGUUGUAGGCCACCAAAGUCCGGGGUCCACUGAAGUAACAUAUAUAGUAUGCAGUAUAAGGCAUAUUCAUGAACAUUGCCCGAAGGGAUCACAACCUGAUAGUAUAGCAUGGUAGACGGACAAGGAUGUAGGUCCACUAAUGAGACUCUAGCAUAUCUAUACUAAGCAUAUAGGAUAACAGGUAAGGUGUCAACAAUAGUAGGAAAGACAUGCUAUGCUGCAGUAUAGGAUCUACCGAUAAAGCAGUAACAGUAUCGCAACUCUAAUGCAAGCAAUAGAGAGAAGGAAUAGGCGAUAUCGGAAUGAUCAAGGGGGGUUUGCUUGCGUGGAAGCUCUGUCGAGAAGGAAGGGUUGUCAUCAACGUAGUCGUACUCGGAGGCAUCGGCAGUCUGGGGGUCUACCGAAAGAAUAGAGGAGAUGGGGAAAACAAAUAAAUAACAAACAUACAAAUGCAACACAGAUGCAUGUCAUGUCAUGGCAAAGUGUGUUGAUGAUAUGCUAAUGCAUCCCUAAAGAUUUUAAAAGAAGAGGGAAAACAUCUAGCAAUGUUUUCCCAGUUCCAGGUAUAAUUUGGUCAGAUGAUCCUGAUGCAAAUGUUCAAGGUUCAUAUGUUAAAGGGGUCUGACAGGUAUGUGGAUGACAUAUUCGGAUUCGUUAUAUUUUUCUGAUCAUUUUUCAUAUAAAAUUAUUUUCACCUAACUUACGUUUAUUUCCUAUGAAUUUCCAAAGUUUUAGUUAUUUUCUAGAAUAUCAUUAAUUCAAAAUUAAAAUGGAAAUUUCUAGGUGCACACACAGAGUGUACAUAGCAGUGUGCUACAGGGGCUGACAAGGGUGGCCCAGUUGACUGCCCAGUCAGCAAUCAACACCUCUAUUUCACACACGUUGCAUAUGUUAUAUUUUUUUCUAAGAUAUCAUUGACAUAUAUUUCCUGUCUAUAUCUCACACACUCAAAUACGCUCAUGAAAUCACCAAAAAAACA